GAUGAACGCUAGCGGGAGGCCUAACACAUGCAAGCCGAGCGGUAUUGUUUCUUCGGAAAUGAGAGAGCGGCGUACGGGUGCGUAACACGUGUGCAACCUGCCUUUAUCUGGGGGAUAGCCUUUCGAAAGGAAGAUUAAUACUCCAUAACAUAUUGAACGGCAUCGUUUAAUAUUGAAAGCUCCGGCGGAUAGAGAUUGGCACGCGCAAGAUUAGCUAGUUGGUGAGGUAACGGCUCACCAAGGCGAUGAUCUUUAGGGGGCCUGAGAGGGUGAUCCCCCACACUGGUACUGAGACACGGACCAGACUCCUACGGGAGGCAGCAGUGAGGAAUAUUGGUCAAUGGGUGCAAGCCUGAACCAGCCAUCCCGCGUGAAGGACGACUGCCCUAUGGGUUGUAAACUUCUUUUGUAUAGGGAUAAACCUACCCUCGUGAGGGUAGCUGAAGGUACUAUACGAAUAAGCACCGGCUAACUCCGUGCCAGCAGCCGCAGUAACAC
rnacentral:rRNA from 1 species